rnacentral:rRNA from 1 species
UUACCCUACGGGAGGCAGCAGUGGGGAAUAUUGCACAAUGGGCGAAAGCCUGAUGCAGCAACGCCGCGUGAAGGAAGACGGUUUUCGGAUUGUAAACUUCUGUUCUUAGUGAAGAAUAAUGACGGUAACUAAGGAGCAAGCCACGGCUAACUACGUGCCAGCAGCCGCGGUAAUACGCAGGUGGCAAGCGUUGUCCGGAAUUACUGGGUGUAAAGGGAGCGUAGGCGGGAAGCCAAGUCAGCUGUGAAAACUACGGGCUUAACCUGUAGACUGCAGUUGAAAUUGGCUUUCUUGGGUGAAUUAGG